rnacentral:rRNA from 1 species
UGGGGAAUUUUGGACAAUGGGCGAAAGCCUGAUCCAGCCAUGCCGCGUGAGUGAAGAAGGCCUUCGGGUUGUAAAGCUCUUUUAGUCGGAAAGAAAGAGUUGCAAUGAAUAAUUGUGAUUUAUGACGGUACCGACAGAAAAAGCACCGGCUAACUACGUGCCAGCAGCCGCGGUAAUACGUAGGGUGCGAGCGUUAAUCGGAAUUACUGGGCGUAAAGGGUGCGCAGGCGGUCUUGCAAGUCAGAUGUGAAAGCCCCGGGCUUAACCUGGGAAUGGCGUUUGAAACUACAAGGCUAGAGUGCAGCAGAGGGGAGUGGAAUUCCAUGUGUAGCAGUGAAAUGCGUAGAGAUGUGGAAGAACACCGAUGGCGAAGGCAGCUCCCUGGGUUGACACUGACGCUCAUGCACGAAAGCGUGGGGAGCAAACA